rnacentral:rRNA from 1 species
UACGUAGGGUGCAAGCGUUGUUCGGAAUUACUGGGCGUAAAGCGCACGUAGGCGGAUAUUUAAGUCAGGGGUGAAAUCCCAGAGCUCAACUCUGGAACUGCCUUUGAUACUGGGUAUCUUGAGUAUGGAAGAGGUAAGUGGAAUUGCGAGUGUAGAGGUGAAAUUCGUAGAUAUUCGCAGGAACACCAGUGGCGAAGGCGACUUAC